ensembl:lncRNA
AAACAAGUCUAAAAGACUCAGCAGUUUAUUAGCUUAAUGCCACAUCUUUUAUCAUUGUAAAUGGGACUGAUAACCCUUCUCGUCUGCCUUUUCUGUUGCUUAAAUUAGAUCUAUCAACAUCUACUCCAGCCAAUGAGGACAAAACAACCUUGCCAACAAAAUGUGAAACUGGAGGUACAGCCACUUUAGGAAAGCAUACCAUCCAUACAGAGACACUACUGAGAUUGACCAUCUCCUCACAACGGUAAGUCUGCCUCUCUUCUGUUAAUACAGCGUGAUAGUGAUCAGAUGGACUCUGUGGAACAUCUACACUUUACCCUUUGUUUAAUAGAAUUCAUCUUUCAAAAGGAAAAUUAAAUAAAGAGCUAGAAAAUGUCCA